AAAAUCUUCAAUCGAAGAUAUUCAUUUUUAGGGGUCGACUUUCUCUGUAAAUAUCAAACUCCUCAUAGACUUAUAGACCUGUGUACACUCAUAAACACAUUAGUCCCUUAACCUAUAAGUCUUCAAUACACCAAAAUCACUAAGGGGCACUAGAUGCACUUACAUACUUGAAAAUAACUAAACAGUUCACUGCCAAGCUGACGACCUACAACAGCUUCGCUUCAAUUUUAGUGGUACACCACCACGUGAGUUUCAGGGUUCACAUUUGUGAAUUUUGAUUCGAUAAACACGCAAACUAUUCCAGAAAAUUUCAAAAUCAUUAUGUCAUGAAUUCAUCAAUGAAAAUGAGCUAUUGCGAGACACAGCAGUACAUAAAAGAUAAACAAGCAAAGAACCUAAACUACUCUAUGAAAUGUUCAAGUGCCUCAAUCAACAAAACAUGAGCAAACUGGAUAAAGAUUAAAUGUUCUAAGGUAGAUUUUCAAACCCUUAGGUGGUGGUUACCUGGAUGUAGAUUUGUUGGCUUCAGUGAAGCCUGAAAUUGGCCUUGCAGAUUAGUUCACAAUGAGAACAAUCAGAUCCAUUGAUCAAUGGGCCCUACAGAUUGGUGAGCAAUUAAUGAGCAAUGGGCCUUGCAGAUUAGUUCACAAUCAAUCAGAUCCUUGAGAUAAAAGCCAGGAACUCAUCCAUCUGCAAUCACAAUGAGAAAAUUUCCAUUUGUAGGCAAAUGGUAGAAAUAACAGCACAUGAAUUGGUGAGACUGUAAUUGACAACAUAAAAGCUGGGGCCACAAGGUAUAGAACAUCAUUCAGAUAACAAAUUGGUAAUAUAGAAUUUCCAACAGUCAAGGAAAUAUUAUUUAAUUGACUUGCUAUGAAUGUGCUAGCAAACGCAUAAUGAGAAACAUUUAGAAAGUAAUGCAAUAAACAUAGAACAAGCCUACUAAAAACAGUUGAGUUCACAACUCAGCCUAGAUAAUAGUGCAUAACUUGGCGAGCAGAAGCAAUGGUGAUGAACACACAAGUACCAUUACAUGACAAUAAUUCAAGUACAGAAUAAUGCAUUGGCUUUAUUAUAAUUAGAUGUAGCACAUUUAAAAACAAUGGCCUUCUAAAAUUUGCAACCAUAUUUAAUAAAUAUCAGAGCAAAUUAACAACGCAAUAUGAACUAAGUAUUGCGAAGAACAAAAAUGUUGACUACAUGUCAUAAAUUCACAACAAACAUUAGAGUAAGACAAUAAAUUCACAACAAUCAACAACUCAAUAUUAUAGCAUACACAAUAAGAAGGAGCAAUGGGUGAUUACCAGAAGCCUAUCAGAGAAGUAUACUGGAGAUGAUGGAGGGGCGAUCUGCUUUCACUUCAGACAACAGCUUGAAGAAAGCUCACAGACCCAAACAUACUCGAAGGGACCAAGGGGUGAUCUACUUGGCACCUUGGAGCUUGCCCUAAGUGGGUCUGCCUAAGAGCACCGCAAGGUUCACCUCAUUUUGCUUUUUCCCUUGCUCCACCUUUGCAC
rnacentral:lncRNA from 1 species